CUGAUAUAAAUCAACACGUGUUGUGAGCUCCCGACAACAACGGCCGUUACAUUACUGGUAUAUAUCAUACUUAACAUUUUGUGGAAAUAGCUUUAAAUUAAAACAUAAACUUUUACGUGUUUAAUAAAUGUACGUGUUUUAUUAUUGUGAAAGGUAAGUCAAAUAAUAAUAAUAAUGCAUGGUUGUAACGGGAAUCAGGGUUCGAUUCCGGAGAGGGAGCCUGAGAAACGGCUACCACAUCCAAGGAAGGCAGCAGGCGCGCUAAUUACCCACUCCCGCUACGGGGAGGUACUGACGAA
rnacentral:ncRNA from 1 species